rnacentral:rRNA from 1 species
GGCGGCGUGCUUAUACAUGCAAGUCGAACGAGGAGCUUUUGUCUUCGGAUGGAGGCUUCCUAGUGGCGAACGGGUGAGUAACGCGUUGGUGACCUGCCCCGAAGUGGGGGAUAACAGUUCGAAAGGACUGCUAAUACCGCAUACAAUCAGUUGGGUUAGAGACCUUCUGAUAAAAGGAGUAAUUCGCUUCGGGAGGGGCCUGCGUCCCAUCAGCUAGUUGGUAAGGUAAUGGCCUACCAAGGCGAUGACGGGUAGGGGACCUGAGAGGGUGGCCCCCCACAAUGGCACUGAAACACGGGCCAUACACCUACGGGUGGCAGCAGUAGGGAAUAUUGGACAAUGGGCGAAAGCCUGAUCCAGCAACGCCGCGUGUGCGAUGACGGCCUUCGGGUUGUAAAGCACUUUUAGAGGAGAUGAGAAAGGACAGUAUCCUCUGAAUAAGCCUCGGCGAACUACGUGCCAGCAGCCGCGGUAAAACGUAGGAGGCUAGCGUUAUCCGGAUUUAUUGGGCGUAAAGCGCGUGCAGGCGGUUUAUCAAGUUGGAUGUGAAAGCUCCUGGCUUAACUGGGAGAGGUCGUUCAAAACUGAUAGACUAGAGAAUGGUAGAGGGAG